CAGCAGCCGCGGUAAUACGGAGGGUGCAAGCGUUACUCGGAAUUACUGGGCGUAAAGCGUGCGUAGGUGGUGGUUUAAGUCCGUUGUGAAAGCCCUGGGCUCAACCUGGGAAUUGCAGUGGAUACUGGGUCACUAGAGUGUGGUAGAGGAUAGUGGAAUUUCCGGUGUAGCAGUGAAAUGCGUAGAGAUCGGAAGGAACAUCUGUGGCGAAGGCGACUAUCUGGGCCAACACUGACACUAAGGCACGAAAGCGUGGGGAGCAAACAGGAUUAGAUACCCCCGUAGUCCCUGUCUCUUAUAC
rnacentral:rRNA from 1 species